rnacentral:rRNA from 1 species
GAUGAACGCUGGCGGCGUGCUUAAUCCAUGCAAGUCGAACGAACCGGGGCAACCUGGUUAGUGGCGGACGGGUGCGUAACACGUGGGUGACCUACCCUGAAGUGGGGAAUAACUGUCCGAAAGGGCAGCUAAUACCGCAUGUGGUCUGGCCGUGAGGUCAGAUUAAAGGCGUAAGUCGCUUCAGGAGGGGCCUGCGGCCUAUCAGCUAGUUGGUGGGGUAAAGGCCUACCAAGGCGAAGACGGGUAGCUGGUCUGAGAGGAUGAUCAGCCACACUGGCACUGAAACACGGGCCAGACUCCUACGGGAGGCAGCAGGAAGGAAUUUUGGACAAUGGGGGAAACCCUGAUCCAGCAACGCCGCGUGGGCGAUGAAGGUCUUCGGAUCGUAAAGCCCUUUUCUGCGGGAAGAGAGAGGACGGUACCGCAGGAAUAAGUCUCGGCUAACUACGUG